CGUAAAUGGCUAGAAGGGAGUCGGCGGCUAGAAAGUGGGUGAUAAGGGUUUUAUAUGCCGGAGCAACCUCUUUAAAUUAAGCUCGACGCACAUAAAGGAAGUUCCCAAGUGCGUUUCCAGACUCACAAACCUGUCAGUCCUCCUGUCGAACAACAACUCCAUCACGGGCCUCCCCGCUGAGCUGCUCUCCUUACAUCAACUGGCUGAGCUGAAUUUAGGAAAUAAUGCCUUGAAGGAGUUUCCCGCUGUUCUGGGCCAUCUGGAGUCCUUGAAAAAGCUGUACCUGUUCAGAAACCAAAUUACUGUAGUGCCACCUGAUGUGAUAGGUGGCUUCAAGAACCUUGUUGUCCUCAAUCUGAACCACAACCAGAUUCAAAGACUUCCUCCAGGGAUUAAAAGCUUGAGUAUGCAUGAACACCUCAGCGUGCUGGACAAUAAGCUGGAGGAAGUUUCCGCAGAGCUUGGCCAUCUCUUUAGAUAAACCUAAACUUCAACUGGCUGUCCUGGCUUCCUCGGCAGCUGUACUAGUGCAAAGAGCUGACAAAGCUGUAUGCAGCCAGAAACUACUUGACCAGCCUACCAGAGGAGGGUUCUUAUAAAAUCCCACACCAGUUACCUGUUGAGUUUUUCAUGUUUUUUCUUUUCUUUUCUGGUUUUAGUCAGCAAAUCAAGAGUUUCAGGAAAAUCACUAAUUUGAUUGGCCACUCACACCACCUAAAUUUCCCUGAAGUUAAUUUUUGACUGAAUAUAGUGUUCCUAUAUUGACAAGGUAGCUUUUAAGAUAUUUGUGUCAAGCUGUAUCUCUGAUUCUACUUUUGUACUGUGAAAUAAUUUGGCCGUAACGGAACUGCACUGUGAAGGGAACAGGUUUGUGCAGUGUGAGCUGAUGACUUUGGUGCAGUAUGCUGAAGUACUUACAUUAAAGUAGGAACUGGUUGUUAGGUUUCUAUUGUGGGAGGACAGGAACAGGUUCUCUCCAAUCCAUGUGAUGCUUCUCCACUGUCCAAAUCUAAAGACGCUGCUGGACACCGCUAGCUCUUGUGCGGUCUGCUGCAGCCCCUUCCUCACCACCUGGCUGCAUUGUGUGCAUUUUGUAAAUCUAAAGAAGGACUUGAAAAUGAGGAGUAUGCUUACUAUUCCAGUGUGUGCCCUUCUCUGUUCAUACAGGUGCUUUAACACAGAAGGACACGCCUACUUUGGUGUUGCUACAAGAUAAAUACAAGUUUAUUUAAAGAUACAGUCUUCUUUUUCAUCUCAUUUAACUUAAUCUGAAGGCACAAAAUGUUUCAAUAAAUAUCACAGUGACAGUGUAGGUCUGGAAGCAUAUACAUGGAUUCAUUCCUCAGUGAUUUUGUCCUUCAAAUUUAUUUGGCAUUUCACUCUGUAGCCACUAGAUGGCAGCAAAUGAACGUUGAUAGGACCCUCGUUUCAACGGGGCUCUAAAAUGCAGGCUUUAUGCCAGCUACAACGAUGUAAAAUCCUUGAAAACAGAUAAAACAACACAAUUAAAAAAACUUUAUUUACAAAUACUUGAACAUAAAACCUUUGUAAGAGAAUACCUGUUACACCUGUUUUUUCUCAGUAAAGAGAUAAUUCUGUGGAGACCUUCACUGGGUUUAACCCGCACAAAAUCUAUAUGAAGACCCAUUUACAUUUAGCAAUGGAAUAUUUUAUUUUUCUGUCUGUGUCCACCCUGGCACAUCCUUUUCCCAUG